UUAAAUAUAUUUUGUUUAUUAAUAUAAAAUAUAAUACUAAUAUAUGUAAUAUGAUAUUUAUUAUAUAUCAAUAAUAUAUAUAUCAAUAAUUAUUAUAUAUAAAUAAUAUAUAUAAUAUAUAUAAUAAGAAAAAAAAAUAUAAUAAUAAUUUUUUAUUUAUAAAUUUUUUUUUUCUUUCAGAUAAACAAUCGUAACGAAAAACUAUUUUUUUACCUACAAACCAGACGUUAGAGAAUAUAAAAAAAUUAUUUUUUUCAUUAAAAUUUAUUUUUACAGUUUUAUGUGAAA
rnacentral:lncRNA from 1 species